rnacentral:rRNA from 1 species
UGGGGAAUAUUGCACAAAUGGGCGCAAGCCUGAUGCAGCCAUGCCGCGUGUGUGAAGAAGGCCUUCGGGUUGUAAAGCACUUUCAGCGAGGAGGAAGGUGGUGAGCUUAAUACGCUCAUCAAUUGACGUUACUCGCAGAAGAAGCACCGGCUAACUCCGUGCCAGCAGCCGCGGUAAUACGGAGGGUGCAAGCGUUAAUCGGAAUUACUGGGCGUAAAGCGCACGCAGGCGGUUUGUUAAGUCAGNUGUGAAAAUCCCCGGGCUCAACCUGGGAACUGCAUUUGAAACUGGCAAGCUAGAGUCUCGUAGAGGGGGGUAGAAAUUCCAGGUGUAGCGGUGAAAUGCGUAGAGAUCUGGAGGAAUACCGGUGGCGAAGGCGGCCCCCUGGACGAAGACUGACGCUCAGGUGCGAAAAGCGUGGGGAGCAAAACAGGAUUAGAUACCCCUGGUAGUCCACGCUGUAAAACGAUGUCGAUUUUGGAGGUUGUGCCCUUGAGGCGUGGNUUCCGGAGCUAACGCGUUAAAUCGACCGCCUGGGGAGUACGGCCNCAAGGUUAAAACUUAAAUGAAUUGCGGGUCUAGCUGUUUCC